rnacentral:misc_RNA from 1 species
GAAAUGCGAUAAGUAAUGUGAAUUGCAGAAUUCAGUGAAUCAUCGAAUCUUUGAACGCAUCUUGCGCUCCUUGGUAUUCCGAGGAGCAUGCCUGUUUGAGUAUCAUUAAAUUUAUCAACUGUGCCAGUUUUGGUUUACAGAUUGGAUAUGGGGGUUUUGCAGGCUUUUUCAUUCUUAUCCAAUAAGAAAAAGAACAAAGUCAGCUCUCCUGAAAUGCAUUAGCAGUGCCUUUUGUUGGUUCUUAGGUGUGAUAAGUUAUCUAUGCCUUUACAUGUACCUUCAUAUUGAUGGUCAUACUGCUUCUAAUUGUCUUCUUGACACAUUUAUGAUGAUCUUGAUCUCAAAUCAGGCAGGACUACCCGCUGAACUUAA